UACAGAGGGUGCAAGCGUUACUCGGAAUUACUGGGCGUAAAGCGUGCGUAGACGGUUAUGUAAGUCGGGUGUGAAAGCCCCGGGCUCAACCUGGGAAUUGCAUUCGAGACUGCAUAGCUAGGGUGCGGAAGAGGGAAGCGGAAUUUCCGGUGUAGCGGUGAAAUGCGUAGAUAUCGGAAGGAACACCAGUGGCGAAAGCGGCUUCCUGGUCCAGCACCGACGUUCAGGCACGAAAGCGUGGGGAGCAAACAGG
rnacentral:rRNA from 1 species